rnacentral:lncRNA from 1 species
GUGUAUAUGGAGAGUACAAGUUGUUGUGUUCUAUGAUCUUCUCCCCUCAAACCCUAGCUUGUAGCCAUAUAUAUAGAAGCCACCUCCACCCGUAUCCUACUAGGAGAAGGACUCCUUAUCCCUCCAAAUAAGGAAACACAAUCCUAUUUUAAUAAGGACUCUUCCAUUGUCAUAAUAAAUACAUAUGGGCCAUCAUCAGAUCCGGACCAUUAAAU